GGUGGAACUGAAUUGUGGCUCAGUGGGAAGAGUAGUUGUCUCGUAAUCUGAACGUUGUGGGUUUGAUUCCACCUUUCCACCA